rnacentral:rRNA from 1 species
CAGGGCUUUCGUCUUGUAAUUGGAAUGAUGGUGAUGUACAACCUCACCAGAGUACCAAUUGGAGGGCAAGUCUGGUGCCAGCAGCCGCGGUAAUUCCAGCUCCAAUAGCGUAUAUUAAACUUGUUGCAGUUAAAAAGCUCGUAGUUGUAUUUCAGCCUCGCGUUUUUUCCCUGGUUUUGGGUCUUUUCGCUGGCUUUUUUUUUACUUUGAGAAAAUUAGAGUGUUUCAAGCAGACUUUUGUCUUGAAUACUUCAGCAUGGAAUAAUAGAGUAGGACCUUGGUUCUAUUUUGUUGGUUUUGAGCCUUGGUAAUGGUUAAUAGGAACGGUUGGGGGCAUUCGUAUUUAACUGUCAGAGG